GCUGGGCACUGUGGCACAUGCCUAUAGUCCUAGCUGCUUGGGAGGUUGAGACAGGAGGAAUGUUUGAGCCCAGGACUUCUGGGCUGUAGUGCACUAUGCCAUCAGGUGUCCACCCUAAGUUCAGCAUCAAUAUGGUGACUUCCCGGGAGCAGGGGACCACCAGGUUGCCUAAGGAGGAAUGAACUGGCCCAGGUCAGAAACAGAGGAGGUCAAAACUUCUGUGCUGACUAGUAGUGGGAUCAUGGGAUCUGUGAGUAGCCACUAUACUCCAACCUCAGAAACACAGUAAGAACCUGUCUCU
rnacentral:SRP_RNA from 1 species